rnacentral:rRNA from 1 species
GAUGAACGCUGGCGGCGUGCCUAAUACAUGCAAGUCGAGCGAACAGACGAGGAGCUUACUCCUCUGACGUUAGCGGCGGACGGGUGAGUAACACGUGGAUAACCUACCUAUAAGACUGGGAUAACUUCGGGAAACCGGAGCUAAUACCGGAUAACAUGUUGAACCGCAUGGUUCAACAGUGAAAGACGGUCUUGCUGUCACUUAUAGAUGGAUCCGCGUCGCAUUAGCUAGUUGGUAAGGUAACGGCUUUCCAAGGCAACGAUGCGUAGCCGACCUGAGAGGGUGAUCGGCCACACUGGAACUGAGACACGGUCCAGACUCCUACGGGAGGCAGCAGUAGGGAAUCUUCCGCAAUGGGCGAAAGCCUGACGGAGCAACGCCGCGUGAGUGAAGAAGGUCUUCGGAUCGUAAAACUCUGUUAUUAGGGAAGAACAAAUGUGUAAGUAACUAUGCACGUCUUGACGGUACCUAAUCAGAAAGCCACGGCUAACUACGUGCCAGCAGCCGCGGUAAUACGUAGGUGGCAAGCGUUAUCCGGAAUUAUUGGGCGUAAAGCGCGCGUAGGCGGUUUUUUAAGUCUGAUGUGAAAGCCCACGGCUCAACCGUGGAGGGUCAUUGGAAACUGGAAAACUUGAGUGCAGAAGAGGAAAGUGGAAUUCCAUGUGUAGCGGUGAAAUGCGCAGAGAUAUGGAGGAACACCAGUGGCGAAGGCGACUUUCUGGUCUGUAACUGACGCUGAUGUGCGAAAGCGUGGGGAUCAAACAGGAUUAGAUACCCUGGUAGUCCACGCCGUAAACGAUGAGUGCUAAGUGUUAGGGGGUUUCCGCCCCUUAGUGCUGCAGCUAACGCAUUAAGCACUCCGCCUGGGGAGUACGACCGCAAGGUUGAAACUCAAAGGAAUUGACGGGGACCCGCACAAGCGGUGGAGCAUGUGGUUUAAUUCGAAGCAACGCGAAGAACCUUACCAAAUCUUGACAUCCUCUGACCCCUCUAGAGAUAGAGUUUUCCCCUUCGGGGGACAGAGUGACAGGUGGUGCAUGGUUGUCGUCAGCUCGUGUCGUGAGAUGUUGGGUUAAGUCCCGCAACGAGCGCAACCCUUAAGCUUAGUUGCCAUCAUUAAGUUGGGCACUCUAAGUUGACUGCCGGUGACAAACCGGAGGAAGGUGGGGAUGACGUCAAAUCAUCAUGCCCCUUAUGAUCUGGGCUACACACGUGCUACAAUGGACAAUACAAAGGGUAGCGAAACCGCGAGGUCAAGCAAAUCCCAUAAAGUUGUUCUCAGUUCGGAUUGUAGUCUGCAACUCGACUACAUGAAGCUGGAAUCGCUAGUAAUCGUAGAUCAGCAUGCUACGGUGAAUACGUUCCCGGGUCU